CCAAGCAGGCUAUGGUUUUAGGGUUUUAUGGGCAAUAAGCAAGAAGAGUGUUUUCCGAAGCUUCUCUCUCCGCAACCAUGAUAAGCUUUUUGCGUUGAUCAAUUUGAUAUGAUUCGUCAUUUUCUCUUCAGAUGAUUCCAGAGAAGAACCGCCGAGAGAUAUCCAAGUUAUUUGAUUCGGUGUUUAAAUCUCCUUCUCACAAAUUUCCGUAAAAGUUACAGAGGGAGUUUGCUAUGCCAAAAAAGAUUACAAUUUGGUGAAACAUCCCCAAAUCGAUGUGCGGAAUCUUCAGGUGAUAAAGCUGAUGCAGGGCUUCAAAUCCAAGGAAUACGUGCGAGAGACCUUCGCUUUGAUGCACUACUACUGCACCUCACCAAUGACGGCAUUGAGUUCCUUCGAACCUACCUCAAUUUGCCCUCUGAAAUCGUCCCUGCUACUUUGAAGAAAUCCCUCAAGCCCCUCGGUGCUCGGAUGGGUGGCCCACCCGGCGAUCGCGCCAGGUAAAUUUUGAUACAUAUAUAUACAUUGACGGGGUGUUUAUGUUAUUGGUUUUUGUUAAUUUGCUGGGUUGAUUAUGUUUCAUCGAUUGAAUGUGAAUUAUAUUGAUUUACAUACAUAUAUAUGCAGUGAUGGUUUGUUUAUGUUAUUGGUUCUUGUUAGUUUGCUGGGUUGAUUAAUAUGUCUAAUUGAAUGUAAUAUGAAUUGGGUUUUGAAAAAUAGUGGCCUUGUUAGUGGAUGAAGAAUGUUAUUAUUGAAGUAGUAAAGAACAUGCUAUGUCUCAAUAAAUUUGGCUGAAGGUAUGCUAUUCCACUUUCAUCCUUGUGAUUCUUCGUGUAAAUCUCUUCAACUGUUUUUACUUUGAUCUAUGUUUGAAUGACUUUGUUUUAAUUUUCAGUUAUAUACUUACUAGUAGAUUUUCAAAUUGUAUCCUUUCGAGUUGAUUGUUUCUAUGAUUGCUCAUAUAGGUGAAGCAGAGUAUAUGGUUUAGUAGUCAUUAUUUUACCGGGACUGAAGUGAAGUCAUCAUGACAUGAUGGUAGUUGUGUUGUUCUCUUUGAAAUUGUUGCUGUGGUAUCUGGUUAUAGGGAGCUCGCAGAAUUCGUCAUCCCCCGAAUCUUUAGGAUUAAGAAAUCAUGUAAGUUCUAACACUUGCAUCUUGUAUUUAUUUAUUGUCUUUAUUGAUAUAAUCCUUGAUAUAACAAGAGGCAGAAUGCUGCUGCUGAGAAGUAGCUUGAAGAUGUAUGGUAGUCAGCUCUUGCCACAACAGUGAGAUCCCAUUUCCCUUUGUUUGAAAGUAAUUGUUUAAUUAUCACUUUCCAUAUACUUCCCUUUCUUUUCAGAUCCUAUUGAGUGAUGAAUUCUUUUCCUUUUUCUUUUUUAAUUUAUUUCUCCUGGUGAUAGUGCCUUUUGGCUUUUAUUUUCUUUGUAAACCAACUAUUCAAAUGAUAUAAAACAACAGUCGCAGGGUAAUUUUAUUUUUUGAUAA